rnacentral:lncRNA from 1 species
UCAAACAGUAGUUCACACCCAAAAAUAAUAUACCUUGAGUAGAAAUAACAAAACACCGCCGUGACAAACCACAGGUGAACCCUCAUCGUGGAGGAGAAUAUUGAUUUGGCAUUCCAACAUUGGGCAAUAGCUGCGUACUCACAUUAAGCAUAAAUAACUAGGAUUAUCCACUGUAUAAUCAAAAAUAGAGCAUGACCCCAAGGAUUCAGAAAACCAAGUGCCGAUCUUAGCGCAAAAAAAAAAAGAGAGAGAAAAAAAAGAAAAGCAACAUUGUCGCCAAUAGAUUGCCACCAAUUGAUGCUUAGAGCUUUAGCUGUCCACAAGUACAUGUAACCAUUUGGCAGUGUAUGUCAGACUCCACUUCCUUGGUUAAAGAGGACGUAGUCACACACUAGAGGCUCAAGCACAAUAGUCCGGAUUCCACGUAGAUAAAACGCACAACGACAGCGAUAGGACAUCCUCCCUUGUUCCAAGUCAAAAUACGGUCCAUUCCUCACUGUCCACCCCCACUAAAGCAGCAUAAAAGAAGAUAAACAAGGCCCAACUGGCCAAAGAGAAAUUCUUCGUGCACCGCCCGCGGUGCCAAAAAUCCGAUGCAGAUGCGGAACACAUCAUCUUAUUCAAUUAAAUUAUAUAAAUAUCAUUUU